UUCCAUUGUAUUUGUGGUUUGCUUUUUUUAAGUUUCGAUCCAUUAGAUGUAUAACAUGUUUUUGGAAAUUCUUGAUUUGAAUGAGAUCCGUCCGAGCUUUAUUGUUUUUGUGGAGAAUUUGUUGGUCUCGAUUAUUAAAUGUCUGCAAUUUAUGCAUUGAGACUUCAAUUUCUUAUAUUCAGAUUUGAAGGAGUUACUGUAAGACAAAAAUGACCCAUCGAUUGCUCUCUACUUGAUUUUCCUCACGUAAUAAAAUAAUUAGGAUGGCUCAUUGAUCUACUUAAAGGAUUUCUCAUUUCAAUCAUUUAAAUGUUGGUAUAUUUAAUUAUGUUUAGCUAAUCAAAUCAAUUGAUGUCUUUUUCUUAGUGAUAGUCAGAAAUGAAAAUGGAAAUAUUUGGAUUUUUAUAAUCAUUUUUGUUUGAUUGUAUCAUGCAAAUGAAGGACGUUGGCUCAUCAUUUGAUGAUACGUAACAGCUAGAGCCUUUGAUCAAAUAAUUGCAAAUCUCAGAUUAGUUUUUAUUGAUAUUCAUUUUGAAUCCAUUUGCUUUUAAUUUGUGGUGACGAAUAUACUGGCAUAGUUGGUUUACGAGUCAACCUUCGAGAUGCCUCAAAAACAGAUAAACAAUUCAUGUAUUGAGACUUAAAUUUCUUACGUAUAAUCAGCCUCACCAUAAUUAUCUGGGUGGCGGUUAGGAAACUUUAGAUAAUUGACAUUUCAAUCAAGUGUUUAUAUGUUGGAAGAUUAUAGUGUUUGGAUGGUCUAGUUGGAUUAACCAGAGAAUUGGCAUCUUGCGAUUUUUUACACAUUAACAAUGCUUUCGUAUUGCAGGGAUUAAUGACAAGAGUGUUGAAUACAAGAACUUUAACUUCACUAUCUGGUCUGGGAUGUGUGGGGUCAAGACAAGGAGUCUGAUCUCUUAUGGCAAUUAAAUCUUGGUAGAGUGAGUAAAGCUUAAAGAAAGCAUGAUCAUAAGUAGGUCAGGUUGAAAAGAUAGAAAGAUAAAGUGAGAGAGAGUGGGAGUGGGAGUGAGAGAGGGAGAGGAAGAGUUGGAGUUUAAUAUUACGUACACUAAUGAUUGGUGAGAGUAAUUGUGGCCUUCCGUUAUUGAAUUGUUAAUAUGCACGUAAUUAUACACAUGUUAAUUUUUCAAGUGUACAUAAUUUUACACGUGUUGAUAUUUAACUGUACAUACUUGUACAUCUGUGAAUCGUCAAUGCGCAUAUAAUUGUACACACGUUAAUUGUUAACGAGUGUGAACAUGUUGAGUUUGAAUGUUAAGUUUUUAUGUGAGUGUUGCAAAUUGCUGGCAACAAUCCCCAAAGAAUCUGGAAAAACGGGGAAAUAUAUGCAUCCCGGAGGUAGUGAUGAAAGACCCUGCAGUUUGUUGAGAAGAAAGAUACUGGAUCUGGUGAAUUAAGGAGGAUUUCAAGUGUUGCUGAGGAGAAUUUUGUAGCACAGUUUAACGCCAGAGUCUAAUAGUGGUGGAGAAUGCAACAAGGUUUAGAGGAAGUUUGCUGGAGACUUCUACUAAGGAAAGUAAAAUUCCAAGGCUUAUUUUGCGUUUCCCCCCCUGACAAGAUUGCUAAUUAGCGUUUCCUCCCCAAAAAGAUUGAAAUUAGUGUUUCCUCCCCUCGUUAGCUUUUCCAUCCACUGCUCGGUUAACGGAGUCAGCACCUGUGCACGCGUGGCAAAAACUGUACAUCUGUUUCCUGUCCUUCCCAAAAUACCCUGAUUUUCAUAAUUCAUCAUCAGUUUCACUCGGCAUCAUCUCAAUUUCCAAUCUGAGAAAUAAUCAAAACCACAACUCCAUUUUUCGGGCAUACACAACAUUGAAUAGUAUAUUCAUACAAAAGCCAAUUUGCUGCCAGUUUAGUCAUAAACCCCAUUACUUACUUCAAAGCUCAACCAUCUGCAGUAAUCAACACAAGAACCUUCAUGAUCUCAACCUCGUUUCUUCAUCUGCAAACCCAUUGAGAUAACCUCAACAUACCCAUCUCCUAAUUCAUUCAGUCAUCUUCUUCAUCCAUCAUCUAACACCGAAUAAACCCCCAACAAUUUCAUGGCAUCAUCAUUCCAUUUUCUUCCAAUUGAAACCCAUUAAUUCAACAGAUGAGAUCCCCUCUUUCCAUAAUCAAUUUCUUACAACCAAUUCAAUGAUUAUGUACAUAUUAUUUCAAAGAAACAAACAAAUUGAAAUUUCAGAAGAACAUGUCUUUGAGAUUAAAUUUCCGAGGAACCCUAAAAAUUUGGGGUUUUUAUUUUUACUGAUUAAUGAAAUUGAAUUUCGAUUGAGGGAAGUAGUAAGAGAUUGUGAUGUUUCAGUUCAACUAAAACCUGGUGUCAAAUGCUGCUAAGAUUGAUAUGUUGCCGAGAUUGAGAUGUUUCAGUUCAAAUUUGGUUCGCCGAGAUUGAGAUGAUGCCGAGAUUGGUUUGUUGCUGAAAUUGCACCUGAAAUAACACAAACGCGGAGUGAGAUGGUUGCGUAGAGAAUUAAGGGUUUGAAUCACUUAAAUUGCUUCUGCUCAUGCUCGAGUGAAGAAUACAUAAGAUGGAGAAAUGAAAUCCAUUAAAUUCAUAGGAAAUAAGGAGCUAGAGAAGAUGGAAGAACAGGCUAAUCUCUAAUUCAUCGGAUGUUGUUAACUGUUAGAUCUAGUUUCUUUUGUGGCUCGAUUGAAGAUUCAUGGUCCAGGGAUGAAUGGGUUAUCUUUGUAAUUGAAUGGUUAUCAGUGAUGGGUAGUUGAAAUGUUAAGGUUUGAUGUUAAUUUGAGAUUGGUAACUGACAUAGGGGGUUUUAGAUGGAUUCAGGGACAAGAGAAGGAACUGAUGGUGUUUCUGAGAUGGAGAAUGAUAGAACAUGAUACUGAGAAAGGAAGAAAGGUGUUAGUGAGAUGAAAAGCCAAUGAACUGGGAUUGGGUUAGUUGCCGAUGGCAUCUGUCAAAUUUCACAGUACUGGUUUCAGGAAAAGAUUUGGGUUUAAUCACUUGAAGAAGAAGGGGGUAUUUUUGGUAACACAUGGGACACGUGUACAGUUUUUGCCACGUGUUCACAGGUGCUGACUCAGCUAACCGAGCAGUUGAUGGAAAAACUAACGAGGGGAGGAAACACUAAUCUCAAUCUUUUUGGGGAGAAAACGCUAAUUAGCUAUCUUGGCGGGGGAGGAAACACAAAAUAGGCCUCCAAUUAUAAACACUACGCUGGAAUCAUUCCAGAAUUUUUUUGAGGUACAAGUUUGACCUUUUUCUAGUUACUUGUUAUGAUUCUCUAAAGAUCCAUUAAAGGAUUAACUCGUCAUCAUGUAUAAUUUUUUGGAGCAUGGGAUGUUUCAUUGUUUGUCCAUAAGAAACUAUCUUUGGAGUGAUUGACAUCUUGCAGUAGUUCAUAAGAUAUAAAUAACUUAACCUGAUUCUUAACGUGUGCACAUCUUGCAGUAGUUCAUAAGGUAUAAAUAAUUUAACUUGAUUUUUGAUUUUUAACGUGUAUACAAUUGUACACAUAUUGAUUUUUAAUGUUCAUAUAGUUGUAUAGUCGUUAUCAACAUGCUGCACAUAAUUGUACACCUAUUGAUUUUUAAGAUGCAUAUGCGAGUUACGACAAAACCAAAUCAUAUAACUCUUGAGAUUCCAUCCACAUUGUUUUAGAAAAAAUGAGCAUAUUCAUAUUAACUUGGUAAGAAAUGAUACGAGGAAAUUCAGAUUUCUUGAUGAUUGGACAAACAUUUGGAUGUUGUACACCAUUGUCCCGUUGAUAUAUAUGAAAUGUUCUAUGGGUAUGUAUGUUGGAUUUUCUAGGUUUUUGUAGAUGUUUACAUAGUUGUACACCAUUGUCUCGUUUCAUGGAUAUAUUGCAUAUUCUGUGUAAGUAUUAGAAUUGCAAUUGUCUAGUAAAUCACUAUACUGGAAUGUUUUGAAGCUCUAUUAAGUUUGUGCAGUUAGGCCCAAAAUGAUUAAGUCAGUAGCUGAGUAACUUUUUACUUUAUUCAUUUUCUUGCUUUGUCUCUUAUGUGGUUGUUGGUUCAAGGUUAAUCACUUCUUUUUUAAGCUGCGAACUCUUAUGUUUUAUUUUUUUGUCCUUGAUACACGUUUACUGCUUAACAAACCUCUACAAAUCCGGCUAUUACUCAACUAGAGUUUGGUGUGGUUGAUAGUUUUGUCAGUCUGUGUAGACUAGAGUGGCUGUUGGCUACAAAAGAUGUUGAAUUGUUUGGAUUUUUCUGCGGAUGUGUGUACAUAGUAACAUAGUUAUACAUUAGUGUAAAUUUAAACUUUUUAAAAAAUGAGAAUUAUAUAGUCACGUGGGUACUCUUUUUG